UGGGGAAUAUUGCACAAUGGACGGAAGUUUGAUGCAGCGACGCCGCGUGGAGGGUGUAGGCCUUCGGGUUGUGAACUCCUUUUUCUCGCGAAAAAGGCACAGUUUUGGCUGUGUUGAUGGUAGUGGGGGAAGAAGCGCCGGCUAACUACGUGCCAGCAGCCGCGGUAAUACGUAGGGCGCGAGCGUUGUCCGGAUUUAUUGGGCGUAAAGAGCUCGUAGGUGGUUCGUCGCGUCUGUCGUGAAAGCCAGCAGCUUAACUGUUGGUCUGCGGUGGGUACGGGCGGGCUUGAGUGCGGUAGGGGUGGCUGGAAUUCCUGUGUAGCGGUGGAAUGCGCAGAUAUCAGGAGGAACACCGAUGGCGAAGGCAGGUCACUGGGCCGUUACUGACACUGAGGAGCGAAAGCGUGGGGAGCGAACAGG
rnacentral:rRNA from 1 species